rnacentral:rRNA from 1 species
GAUGAACGCUGGCGGCGUGCCUAAUACAUGCAAGUCGAGCGAACAGAUAAGGAGCUUGCUCCUUUGACGUUAGCGGCGGACGGGUGAGUAACACGUGGGUAACCUGCCUAUAAGACUGGGAUAACUUCGGGAAACCGGAGCUAAUACCGGAUAACAUUUGGAACCGCAUGGUUCUAAAGUGAAAGAUGGUUUUGCUAUCACUUAUAGAUGGACCCGCGCCGUAUUAGCUAGUUGGUAAGGUAACGGCUUACCAAGGCGACGAUACGUAGCCGACCUGAGAGGGUGAUCGGCCACACUGGAACUGAGACACGGUCCAGACUCCUACGGGAGGCAGCAGUAGGGAAUCUUCCGCAAUGGGCGAAAGCCUGACGGAGCAACGCCGCGUGAGUGAUGAAGGGUUUCGGCUCGUAAAACUCUGUUAUUAGGGAAGAACAAAUGUGUAAGUAACUGUGCACGUCUUGACGGUACCUAAUCAGAAAGCCACGGCUAACUACGUG